rnacentral:rRNA from 1 species
GCAACGAGCGCAACCCCUACGUUUAGUUGCUAACAGGUGAAGCUGAGCACUCUAGACGAACUGCCGUUGACAAAACGGAGGAAGGUGGGAUGACGUCAAAUCAUCAUGCCCCUUAUGUUCUGGGCUACACACGUGCUACAAUGGCCGGUACAGACGGAGGCGAAGCCGCGAGGCGGAGCAAAUCCGAAAAAGCCGGUCUCAGUUCGGAUUGCAGGCUGCAAUUCGCCUGCAUGAAGUCGGAAUCGCUAGUAAUCGCAGGUCAGCAUACUGCGGUGAAUACGUUCCCGGGCCUU